rnacentral:rRNA from 1 species
CUCGUAGGCGGCCAACUAAGUCAUACGUGAAAUCCCUCAGCUUAACUGGGGAACUGCGUGUGAUACUGGAUGGCUUGGAUUUGGGAGAGGGAUGCGGAAUUCCAGGUGUAGCGGUGAAAUGCGUAGAUAUCUGGAGGAACACCGGUGGCGAAGGCGGCAUCCUGGACCAAUAUUGACGCUGAGGAGCGAAAGCUAGGGGAGCAAACG